rnacentral:lncRNA from 1 species
UUUUUUUUUUUUUUUUUUUGGUCAUCUGCCUAAUGGAAGAGAAAAUCCAGGAAAGAAACCCCUGCGAGAUACAGAAACAUAGUCUGAUCCGCUAUUGGAGUCCCUGAAUAUAGCCAUGCCAAUCCCGCCUCAGCCUUCCAGUUUUGAUAAAGGACUCUUGCUAAAGACAGAAGGGGAUGAGAGAGGAAGGAGAAAGGAAAACAGCACGAGACGGAGAGAGCAGGGAAAGAGGAUGACAGAGAAUACGUGAGAAACAGAAGACAAGAUGACUCUGCUGACAGAACGGAGAAGACAGACGAGCACAGAGAGACAGGAAGAGGGAGGAAGAGGAGAGGGCGUUCUCUGUAGAAUCAAGAACAGCACGACGGUGCUGUCCAUCACCAUGGCAUUGGGCAUCCAGCCGGAGAUCCUACAAAUGCCACUGCAGAAAAAGAAACGAAUGGUUCUGUCCUCCGCUUCAGGUUUGUUUUAUGAUACUCUUCUCCGCCUGGCUCUGCCCAGAGGACGGAGACUGCAGUGCUGGAGGAGAAGGGACCCUUCUUCCAGUCUGCUUGCUGUGGGGUUGGCUCCCGGUGAGUAUUGCUCCAGCCUCCCACCCCUCUCUGAAACUAUGGUAGCAAAGCCUUUCUAUAGCAGCAACUGAAUCCGGCCUGAUUCUCCACCAUCGAGUCAGCGUUUCUGUGUCCCCUUCCCACGUUGGAGACAUCAGCGCCUGCCGGCUGGUAGCCCUUCUCAAAGUUCUGGGCUCCCUUCUCUGAGACCAGAGACGGAGCAGCCUCCCGCCCCUCCUCGGAAGACUGAGUUUCGGCUCUGUGGUCCCCUCUUUCAGGUUUCUGAGUUUUAAUAAUCCAUUCUCAUCCCCCCAGGGUGGGGGUUGUCAUAACUACUUCCUGCAGUUGGUACUUGCAUGACAUUUUAGGGUUCUCUCCUUGCCUCUUCUCUAGCGCACAACUUUGCAUUAAAUUCUCUCCGUCCGAAUAAUUCAUGUAAUUUCUGCUCCUGGCUGGAUCCUGAAAGGUACAGUAAACCAAAAAAUAAAGAUGGAGAAAUUAGAUCGUUCGGUUAAGAUAGGGACCGAAAUGGCCAGAAGAUGCUCAACUCAGACAACAAGGGGGUCAAAGAGAAAUUAGGCAUGUGGCAGUCUUUUCUAGGGUCCAGGAGAGAGAAAAUUACAGGCCAGGAUAGAGCAGGAUAGUAAGGAUGGGCCGGAGGGCAUUUCAUUCAAAAACAUGCAUGAAGGGAACGUUUCCCAACUCAUUUCACCUGGCCACUUGUACCAGAUAACAAAAUCAGACAUCUUAAGAAAAAACACUUGUUUAAAACAUUGUCUUUAUGUGUUACUGUGUGUAGAGUUAACCAUUCUUUUUACAUGAAAUAGUGGGCGCUGAAGAAUUUCUUCCCUCCCACUUUUCUACUUUGUUUCUUUGGGAACAUAUCAAGCCCGAUCAAUUCAGUUUAGAUGAUACCUGUCUGCUUACCUAGAUUUCCAUUCUAUUCAGGCCAUUUUUGUUCUUUAGGUCCCUUCAUCACUUUGGAGUCAUGGCAUUGCAAGCAGUUCCAUGAAUGCUCUGAUUGGUCUGAUGUAUGAGUCAUUUUUUAAAUUAUAAGGAAUGCCUCCAGUAUUAUUCUUCCCUGUGUGGAAAAAGGUGGUCGCUAUCAAGGAGAAACAAGAGGGCAUUAAAGUAAACUUCCUUCCAAUUCGGAAUGCGUGACUUUCAUUAACUGCAUUUCACCGUAGAACCUGUAGCUGUUCUGUAAAACUGAACAUGUCCUUUUCUCUGGUUGGUACCAGGGAAUGAACUCUGUCCCUUGUGCUUGCCAGGCAGGCGCGGCACUGUUGAGCUGCAUCUCUGGCCCAAUAUGUCUUUUUUACGCAAGUGACAUUGUAUUUAAUGUACCAAAUUGUUAAUCUAAGUUUUAUAUUUUAAACAAAUCCUUUCAAAGAUGGCUUUAACCAAC